CCUACGGGUGGCAGCAGUGGGGAAUAUUGGACAAUGGGGGGAACCCUGAUCCAGCCAUGCCGCGUGUGUGAAGAAGGCCCUCGGGUUGUAAAGCACUUUCAGUGAGGAAGAACGCCUUGUGGUUAAUACCCAUCAGGAAAGACAUCACUCACAGAAGAAGCACCGGCUAACUCCGUGCCAGCAGCCGCGGUAAUACGGAGGGUGCGAGCGUUAAUCGGAAUUACUGGGCGUAAAGCGCGCGUAGGUGGCUUGAUAAGCCGGUUGUGAAAGCCCCGGGCUCAACCUGGGAACGGCAUCCGGAACUGUCAAGCUAGAGUGCAGGAGAGGAAGGUAGAAUUCCCGGUGUAGCGGUGAAAUGCGUAGAGAUCGGGAGGAAUACCAGUGGCGAAGGCGGCCUUCUGGACUGACACUGACACUGAGGUGCGAAAGCGUGGGUAGCAAACAGGAUUAGAUACCCUUGUAGUC
rnacentral:rRNA from 1 species